rnacentral:lncRNA from 1 species
UUGACCCAAGGUGACGCCAUUUAAGGGAUAAAAGCUGGAUCUAAGUCUUCCAGAGUUUACAAUGAGCCUUGAUAUAUCACCUCUGGACAAUCUGUAGGUUUAUAAAGUUACUUGCCUUGCCAGUCUUUGUCUCUUAAAAGUCUCCCCAAAAUUGGCCCAUGUUACAUACACAAAAAUUGAGACUCCAAGAGGGAGAGACCUGCCCAAAGGCCAGAACUUGGACGCCGAUUUCCUGACUCCUGAGGGUGCCAUCCACUGUAGACCUGUUCUUCAACUUCCACAACAGUGGCAUUCUGCCAGAGCUCAAUCCUGGGCCCCUUCUCACUCCCUCGACUAGCUCAUCACACGCAUGGCUUCCAACUCCACGGCCGUCCACACGCUGAGGGCCCCCGCGUCUCCAUUUCCAGUUCUCGCCUCUCCCUCGAGCUCCAGAUGCGCAUGUCCAGCUGCCUCCUGGACAUCUUCCUUUGAAUGUAGCAAGGCGGGUCCAUUCCUGCGUUCGCUCCCUCCCUGAUCAGCACCACAGUCGAUCCAGCAGAAUGCGAGAACCAUGAGAGCAGCGACGGUGAUGGUUUGGCUUAGUGUCUAACUCAGAGCCUGGUUACAGAAGGCCCGGGACAAAUAUUGAAGGAUGGAUGGAUGGAUGACAGACAGAUGGACAUAUCAAAAGGAAAUGAGACUUUUGCCCAUACUAGAUUUAGUAACACAGAACCCCAGAGCCACCACCUCCCUUUACCAAAUUCUAAACCAGGGCUAUUCAUGUCAACCCCUGCUGUCGGUGGCUCACACCUGUAAUCCCAGCACUUU